UUAUCGUGCUUCAACAAACCCUGCCAAUCAAGACCACAUGAUUCAAGGUACUUUAAAGUUUAAAAAUCUGCAAGCUGUAGAUGAAGUGGAUAAAUAUAGGAAUAAAGCCAUAAAAGGUAAGGAUAUUGUGCGGGAGGAAAAUACAAAACCGAAGGAUAAGAAAAAGGAUGGUACAGUCCAUCCAAAGUCGUAGGAUUAAUACCUUACCACCUUUUCAUUUGUUUAUUACUGAUGAAGAUAACAUGUUGGAAUGUUCGCGGACUUAAUAAGCCGGAGAAAUGUCGGGAGCUCAACAGAAUAAUCAAUUCUG
rnacentral:lncRNA from 1 species